AACGAACGCUGGCGGCAUGCCUAACACAUGCAAGUCGAACGAGACCUUCGGGUCUAGUGGCGCACGGGUGCGUAACGCGUGGGAACCUGCCCUUAGGUUCGGAAUAACUCCCCGAAAGGGGUGCUAAUACCGGAUAAUGUCUUCGGACCAAAGAUUUAUCGCCUUUGGAUGGGCCCGCGUUGGAUUAGCUAGUUGGUAGGGUAAAAGCCUACCAAGGCGACGAUCCAUAGCUGGUCUGAGAGGAUGAUCAGCAACACUGGGACUGAGACACGGCCCAGACUCCUACGGGAGGCAGCAGUGGGGAAGAUUGGACAAUGGGCGAAAGCCUGAUCCAGCAAUGCCGCGUGAGUGAUGAAGGCCUUAGGGUUGUAAAGCUCUUUUACCCGGGAUGAUAAGGACAGUACCGGGAGAAUAAACUCCGGCUAACUCCGU
rnacentral:rRNA from 1 species